CAUCUACAGAAGCUCCAAAGAAAUUUUCUUUCCUGUAAGAAAUGUCAGAUUUCUGGAAAAACAAAUGAUUUUCUAUUUAUUAUUAUCUUAUUAUUUCCACCUAAAUGAUAAGUUUUAAAUGGUUUUAAAUUCCUGCUUAUUUCCCUCCAGGAACAUAUUCAAAAAUUUAAAAAAGAAAUUGAAGGGAAAAACGGAAAAAAAAGAACAGAAUGAAGUAAAAUCGGAGAAACCGGUUGAGGGCAGACAGAGUCAACAGCAGACCAACAAGACCCAGCAAAAGCAGCAGAAGAGCAAGAAUAUAUGUAUUAAAAGAUCAGCAGCCAGCAGCCAGCCAGCAGCCAGCCAGCGAGAGCAGAAGACUACUGUGAACAAGUAUCCGUGGUUCCGCCCUAAAAAGUAAAAUAACAAUGAAGACAUAAAGAAAGAGCCAUGCAGGAAAAGCUGCCAGCAGUCAUGUUGAUGGAAAUGUAUAGUGAGCAAUAUUUAUGUGAUAUUUGAUCAAAUAAAUGUAAUUGAAUGUUGACGCAAUUUUAGCAACUGAAACAUGCGCGAUCUCAUAGAUUCACUUUGUAUGGAUGAACUUUGAAGGUUGACUGUGUUGAUUAGGAUGUGCAAGUGGAUGGGAAUAAAUCCUGGACAAUCCCUCUCACCCGCUCCAUAACACAGUGGACAAACUGAGAAGCAGCUUCUAAGAACGGUGGAGGAAGUCAUUCUUGCCAUUACACUGUAUAAUUCCUCCUUCUCUGUCAGAGCUGUACUCUCUUGACUGGAUUUAUGCAUCAGCUCGGGUGCCCUCCAAACCCAUUCAAUUACAUUAAUUGUUUAAUGCUUAUGUUUUAAUCUUAUUUCUAUAUUAUUCUAUAUGUAUGUAAAUAUGCUUAUAAUUUAUUAUUGUUUUUAUCUCUAUGCCUACAUUCUAACCUUAUUUGUAUUUUAUUUUAUUUCUAUACUUUGUAAAUACACCUGCUGCUAUUUGUGUCUAUACACUAUAGUUACAUUCCUU
rnacentral:lncRNA from 1 species